UCCACGCCGUAAACGAUGAAUACUAGGUGUCGGGUGUCAAAGCUCGGUGCCGCAGCUAACGCAUUAAGUAUUCCGCCUGGGGAGUACGCACGCAAGUGUGAAACUCAAAGGAAUUGACGGGGACCCGCACAAGCAGCGGAGCAUGUGGUUUAAUUCGAAGCAACGCGAAGAACCUUACCAGAUCUUGACAUCCUUCUGAAAAAUCCUUAGCCGGAUUCCUCCUUCGGGACAGAAGAGACAGGUGGUGCAUGGUUGUCGUCAGCUCGUGUCGUGAGAUGUUGGGUUAAGUCCCGCAACGAGCGCAACCCUUGUGUUUAGUUGCCAACAGGUUAAGCUGUGCACUCUAAACAGACUGCCGUGGAUAACACGGAGGAAGGUGGGGAUGACGUCAAAUCAUCAUGCCCCUUAUGAUCUGGGCUACA
rnacentral:rRNA from 1 species